ensembl:lncRNA
GGUCAGUUUCACAAGUUGAAGUACGUGUGGACGUGUGGCCCACAGAAUUGUGUUGAUGCUUUUAAUUUAUUGUGUCUACUAUGAAAAACAAAGCCCAACUCAAUAGCAAAGAAGGCCGAGUCAGGGAGGGUAGAGCAGAGGCUUCCAGGCUGACCUGGCCCAUGGUCACUGAGGCCCUGCCCAGAAGCAAGGCCCUGUGCGCACUGAGCCUGUGAGGACCUGGCCGGCUGAACGCGCUGUGGGAGCCCUGGAGGGACGGGGUUCAGGCGGCAUGGGCUGCAUCCUGGGGCAGCGUGAAGUCGCCCCGUUUGCCCACUGUUUGGGAAGCCUUUAUGGGAAAAUGACAGAAUAAUGCGCACGUGGCCUUCAGGAGCCCGAGCUCAGCAAGCUCAGCAGACCCUCCGCAGGUGCUGCUGGGGACAGGAAACGGUGGAGACACCAUGGCCCGCGUGCCUCAUCUGUCAGGCGCUCUUGGCUUCACAGCAGACAGGAGACCCUCUAAGCAGACAGAAGACGACGAGGCCCCCGUGGAGGGCGCUCUUGAGCAGCAGCAGGAGUACUGUAAUGUAUAACAGCAGAAAACUACAACAAAAUCAGCAAAAAUGACAGAACUGUACUGUACAAGAAGCCACCCCAUAAGGUUGCACUGCCACUCACGUUCCUGCAUCAGAAGUCUGAAUGCAAGUCACAAGUCCAAGCAGCAGGCCAUAAGUCCAAACAGGAGAAGUGCAUGCUGAGUAGGCUCCAUAAGCUGAAGGUACAGGCCUUCUGCAUGUUUGAGCAGCCACUGGCUUUGCAGCCCAGCCUGGCUGCUCCACAAGGUGGUGACUGCAGCAAAUUCAUUACAGGCCAGUAUGAAGGCAAUGCCCAGAACUCCUACCUGUAAGGAUGGCAGUGCCGAAGCUAGAAGAGAUAAAGACUCCAUGAGGGCUUGGAUCAAUGCCUGGGCCCUGUGAUUUGAAAUGGAAUAGCAUCCUCAUUCCAGAAAGAGAAGGCUGCCUUCAAGGUGAGACAAACCUCCAAGUCCAGCACACAGCACUCAACAUGCCACAUGGUAGAUGGCAUCCAAGGGACAGAGAUUUUUCCCUGAAGAAGGAGAAUAUGGGAUUUCCCACGGACCCCUGAAAAAAAAAAAGAACCAGUUCCUUUCGGAUUACCCAGAUCUUAAUUUACUACUUGAAAUCACUCUCUGUGAUUUGUUGGUUAUAGAUUGUCUAAAAUUAGGUCUCAAAGUUAAAUAUGAGGGUUGUCUUCAAGAUAUUUUAUGGGUUAUCCUGAAACCGGUGCCUGAUUUCUUUUUGGGUUUUGCUUGGGGUUUUACAAAAUUUCUUUUUCUUUAUUUAAUUGGUGUAUGUUUGUUUGCUUGUUUUUUUAACCUUAGUUUUCCCAUUUUUCUGGCAUAUUUUUUAAGUGCACUGCAUACUAUUAUCACUUGCCAGGCAUGGUGUAUAGUUUUACAUAGUUAUUGUUUUGCAUAUGUAUUGCUUCUUUAUUCCCUUCCCUCCUGGGUGCCCACUGUACUGUCUUUGACACAUGUCCUUAGAGCCUCUGCCUCUGCGAAUGAACUCAGUGUGAUGGGUGAAUAAUACAUUUGUAAUCCCUGUCUACAGCGUACAUUUCUGCCUGUUCAUGUCUGGAUUCCUGUCAGCGCUUUGCUCCACAGCUGGCAGUCACUGCAUCCUCUUCUUCCAAAGCCUGGUGUGCUCAUAGGUGUUUUUUUUUUUUUGUACCAGGGAUUGAACUCGGGUUCUUGCAGUUGUGGAUCAGGCAGCAGAACCACUGAGCUAAAUCCCCGGCCCUAGGUGGGGUUUUUGAAAGGUGAUUGGACCAUGGCACACUGUUACUAACCGUGCCGCGAGGGAAUGAGGGCCUGGAUGGAAGAGGUGGUCAUAGAGCUGUGACCUUGGAGAAUGUGUCUCCCUCCCUGAGCCUCCCCUUCUUCCUUUGCUUCCUGGGCACCAUGAGGUGAGCAGCUUUCCUCCACAGCAGACCCUUCCACUAGGCCCUUCUCCAUUACAGCCAGAUGUCUGUGAACUGAGAACUCUAAAGUCAGUGAGCCCAAAACAUCCUCUCCUCUUAAGGUUGUAGGUGUUGGGUACUUUGUCCCAGCAACAAGAAAAGUGACUAAGAAUGAGUACUUUGCUGUCACCAGCAGAGCUGUGACAGACACCUCACGAGGUUCCUUACAACCAGUGUAAGCCUUUCCCUGGGAAUGUAAGGCUAGGAUUGAUGGUUGGGGGACACACACACACACACACACACACACACACACACACACUCCUUUUCACUAUGUGCUGCCAGUGCUAUGAUAUUAUCUGGAAUUUUAACUUUUGCCAACUAGAUGGCUGUCAAGCAAGAUCUCACUGUUUUAAUAGGCAGUGAUAUGAUUAUGAGGAAGCUGAGGGUCAUUUUUAAUGGCUAGUCUGUUUUGCAGCAUUUCCUUCAGCUUCCUGCCUAUUUGAGUUCUUUAUAUACAGCUCUGGGUAGCAGAGCUGGAGUUCCAGCCAGUUGGCCUGGGAUAUACAUAGCCUGGCACUGCCAUUCAUGCAACCCAAGCAAGUUGCUUUCCAUCGUGGUCCCCUAGCUUCCUCAACUGUAAUAAGUAAAAACAGUUAAGUUCCUUAUAUGUUUGUGAAGAUUAAGUGAAUUAAAACCUAUAGAAUACUUAAAGGGCCAGACAAGUUAUAAAUAUGCAACAAAUAUUAUUAAAUUCACCAUUCCUAUUGGUUUAUUAAUAUUAUAUAUAAAUUAAUGUUAAUAUAUACUAUAAAUGUAAUUGUGG